CCCAGGAACCACAAGUGGCAACCGCUUUUAUUGGGCCUAAAGCGUCCGUAGCCUGUUAAAUAAAUUUCCUGUGAAAUCGUUAAGCUUAACUUAAUGGCAUGCAGGAAACACUGUUUAACUAGGGACCGGGAGGCGUCAGAGGUAUUCUGGAGGGAGCGGUAAAAUGCUAUAAUCUCCGGAGGACCCCCUGUGGCGAAGGCGUCUGACGAGAACGGAUCCGACGGUGAGGGACGAAAGCCAGGGGAGCGAACCGG
rnacentral:rRNA from 1 species